UUUUUCUUUUUCUUUUUUCUUUUUUUUUUUUUUAGUGAUUUUUACUUUUUUUCCCUUAUUACUGGUUUAUAGUGUUCUGUCUGUUUUCUACUGUACAGCAAGGUGAUCCAGUCACACAUACAUAUAUACAUUCUUUUUUCUCACAUUAUCAUGCUCCAUCAUAAGUGAUUAGACAUAGUUCCCAGUGCUAUGCAGCAGGAUCUCAUUGCUUAUCCAUUCCAAAGGCAAUAGUUGGCAUCUAUUAACCCCAAAUUCCCAGUUCAUCCCAUUCCCCUCCCCUUCCCACUUGGCAACUACAAGUCUGUUCUCCAAGUCCAUGAGUUUCUUUUCUGUGGAAAGGUUCAUUUGUGCCAGAUAUUAAAUUCCAGAUAUAAGUGAUAUCACAUGGUAUUUGUCUUUCCCUUUCUGACUUACUUCACUUAGUAUGAGAGUCUCUAGUUCUAUCCAUGUUGCUGCAAAUGGCAUUAUUUUGUUCUUUUUAAAGGCUGAGUAGUAUUCUCUUCUUAAUCCAUUCAUCUGUCGAUGGACAUUUAGGUUGUUUCCAUGUCUUGGCUAUUGUGGAUAGUGCUGCAGUGAGCAUCUGGGUGCAUGUGUCCAUUUCAAGGAAAGUCUUGUCCAGAUAUAUACCCAAGAGUGGAAUUGCUGGAUCAUAUGGUCGUUCUAUAUUUAGUUUUCUAAGGUACUGUUUUCCCUAGUGGUUGUACCAAUUUACAUUCCCACCAAGAGUAUAGGAGGGUUCCCUUUUCUCCACACCCUCUCCAGCAUUUGUUUUUUGUGGACUUAUUAAUGAUGCUGCUGGCCCUAUUCUUUACCAUCAUUAGGACUCUGGUCACUCUACUUCACGGCACCAACUUCUCCAUCCCUAAGCCCAUUUCCAACUCACUCUGCCAUCUCAAUAAUAAGAAUAACUAGUUAAAAAUAUGUGUAAUAUGAAAUAUAUAAAUAAACAUAAAUAAAUAACUGCUAUCCUAGAAUUUGUCAUGUCCUGAUUUGUCCUUGUAACUGCCUGGCCAGGCCUCAACCCUGGGUAACUCCCCUGCCUGCUUUCUGAUUCCUCUAAGCUUUCAUCUAGAUGCCAAAGGUUGAAGGAGAAAAUGACAAAUUUGAGCUGAAUGGGGACACUUAUAAAACUCUAAAGAAAACAGUGAAAAAAGUAAAAUUCAUCAUUUGUGGAUUUUCUCCUAAAUACAUUCUUCCCUCAUCAUGCAUGCUCCCUUCCCUUCUUCUAAGUCCCCUAUCCACCCAACAGCAUUUAACAUCAUGCAAAGCUUUUAUUAAGAAUAUUGAGUUCAUGGAGUUCCUAUUGUGGUUCAACAGGUGCAACUAUAAAAAGAAAAAAAAAAAAGUUUUGAGUUCAUCUAAAGUGAAUGGCUAGGAGUUCUCAUUGUGGCUCAGUGGUAAUGAAUCCAACUAGUAUCCAUGAGGAUGUGGGUUUGAUUCCUGGACUCACUCAGUUAGUUAAGGAUCUGGUGUUGCCAUGACCUGUGGUCAGAGAUGCAGCUUAGAUCCCACAUUACUAUGGCAUGGCAUAGGCCAGCACCUGUAGCUCCGAUUCGACCACUAGCCUAGGAAUUUCCAUAGGUUGUGGGUAUGGCCCUAAAAAGACAAAAAAAUUAAUGAGUAAGUAAAGUGAAUGUCUAAGGUUUUUUCCUCAGGCCUCAGCCAUCCUGAUUUCUCCAAAACGAAGAGUUUGACACUCUUAUUACUCCCGUUCCUCCCAUGCAUCUUCUCACUCCUAAUGGCAUUGAAAGCCUUUCAUUCUUUGCUUAGGCAGUCAUCCAUUAUUUUUUUUCUUCUGCAGCUGAUAUCAUGCUUUUCCCACUCUUCCUCUAAACUUAUGAAGUCAGAGAUAUUCACAGCCUACCUACUGCCUGCAUGUAUAGAGUCCACAUAUAUUGUUAAUAUUCAUAAUUCUCCAAAAUCCAGUCUCUUUGCACCACUAUCUUCUAUUACUCUCUUAUGCUGUACAGUGCUCCAGAUAAAAUAAUCAAUUAUCAUAGAAUGGGAAAUACAAGUCCAUCUAAAUACAUUUUAUGGUGCUGAGAAAGAGCACAGAUUUUUCUUGAACAAAAAAAUUUGAUGUUCUGCACAGAUUUUCUUGAACAAAAAAUUGCUAGCAAACUGAAUUAAAGGAUGACUUGGAAGUUAGAAAAAGUGCAUUAAUUAUUCCUGAGAGAUUUACAGAUUUCUCUCCCCUGGAACCAUUUGUUUAUAUUUCACAGGGUAAUAAAAUGCUGGGCCACACAUUUAUGUUUCAAAGAGCUGAGGCAUCUAUGGACCUUCUGCUUUUCUUCCAACAUAGGAUUUGUUUACAUAAAAGAUAAAGUUUCUCUCCUUCUCUCUGGAGAAGAGGGAGCCCUUGUACAAAAGUUCCUAUGCAAGCUCCAAAUUACAAAAUUAGAGUGGUCCUCUCCUCUUGUACAUGCAGUUUACAUCUGCUGUCAUCCCACUGCCCCAAAGGGGAGCCCGGGGCAUGAGAAACCAACACUAACAUAUUCUGUAAGUAAAUAAUUACUCUACCUCUGAUCCAGAAACCUCAUGUCGGUAGUCAGGAAAAAAAUAAAUAAAUACAGAUAUUAAAAAUGCAUCAAAUAAAAUAGAAUGUUACGAAGAAUUUCAUUUAAGGGUUUUUUGAAAAGUGCAAACUCUUUCAGUUCAUUUGGUGUUUUAAUGACUUAUACUCAGCUUUUUAUAUAAAACCGAGUUAGUUGUUAAAAGUUGAUUAAAGUGCUUAUCUAUUCUCUCAAGAUUUUGGAGUUAUUUCUAAGAAAACAUUUCUAAAUGUUCAAAUGGUUUCAUGAGUGUUCCUAUAACCCCUCCUCACCAAAAUCCAUCCAUUUAAACUGUGAUUUCUACUGAACUUAGCAUGAAAAUGUUGUUAAGAAAUCCACCCCACAAACUCUCCAGAUUUGCAAGGGAAUAUCUUUCUCACUAUCCUGUCUUUUGCUGUGAUGGCUGCAACAGACACUGUUGAGGGCAGAAGACAGUUUUGCUCCCAAAGCACCGUGGGUGAGAGCAAAGCUAUAAGGAACCUCCUGCUUUUGUUUUCACUCUCCUAGAGAAAGUGGAACAUCAUUACCUUCAUCAUUAUCUCUGACAGAGGCUAGAUUGCUUUGUAAAUAAUCAGAACUGUCUGUAGUCUGCCUUCUCAGGGAGACUAUUUUCCCCACUUUCCUGGAUGCAUUUGAAAUCCAGUCCCUUUCAGCCUCUGUCCUGAGUGAUGACUUUACACAACUCGUGAAUCAGGAUGUGGGUUGAAGAAGGACUGAUUCAGUUAAAAGAAGCAGAGGCAUAUUGCUUAGAAAUCAUCUCUUGCACCCAUUAUCUUACUUUAGAUUGUCAGGCAUGUAAUUUCAUGUCUGCCUCAACUUCCUUUAUUUCCUAAACUUCAUAUCUUAAACUAGAGAGGAAUCAAUUUUAUCCUGCCCUACAGACUGGAUUUUUGUAUCUAAGAUUCAUGAUACGAUCAAAAGAGUUUCCAAUCUCAAAGUGUUCUAGGGAGUUCCUGCUGUGGCACAGUGGGCUAAGGAUCUGGCUUGUCUCUGUGGAGGCACCAGGUUAACCCCUGGCCCAGUGCAGUGGGUUAAAGGAUCCAGCAUUGCUAUAGCUAUAGCAUAGAUUGCCACUCCGGCUCAGAUUCAGUUCCACCCUAAGAACUUCCAUAUGCCUCAGAUGUGGCUAAAAAAGAUAGAAAUAACUUGCUUUAAGUGUUCUAUGCAGGCCAGGAAAAGACACAUGAACAAUAGUAGUUUCACAGCAGUGAGAGAAAAAACACCAGGAAGUGCAACACUGCUGAGUUUCCUCAUUCAGGCCUGCCUUUGGGGGAGUUGCUUCCCCACAAGGCUCACCCUUUCUGUAAUGCACCCCCUUUUUGGAAGCCAUUGUAGGCAAGUCCUACCAACCUUCCAUUUUAAUCACCCUCAAACAGAGCCCAGUCUCCCCAGCCUGAUGUCUUCACGCAUUGCCACCUGUCUGCUGGGCAGUAUCCAGAGCCCUCUGUCCCUCACCCUUCCUGCUACCCUCCUCCUCCAAGUAAAAAGAGCAGCAGUAACUGACACUUGAAAGUCAUUUUACAGGGUAUUUCCUCUUCCUUUGGAGCCAAACCAUUCAGAGUGUUUGGUAGGACAAGCAUCAUCACAUUUAUUUCUUAGAAAAGAAGCAGGCUGGAGAGAGUUGUCUGUGUCCUCUCACUGAGGUAGGUCAACCAAGGACGAUUGAAAACCUCUUGGACAUUCCCUUCUCACAUUUGUAAAAGAAGUUGGUCUUAAAGACUUCUCUAGUUCUAAGAGUCUGUGUUUGGAGGUAUGAGUCUAAGAUUCUCAACUCUUAAACUCUAGUGUCAACUAAAAAAGCCCAGAGAAGAAAUUACAGGUCUUUUUCCUCUUCUGAAGAAAUAGUUCUAUUUUCAGGGUUUCUUCUGGAGGUAAUUCCCACAGCUUCGUAGGAAUCUGUGAUCUUUUAGGUGGAAAUUUCAGGCCAGGUGGGGCUGCUUCAUGGGGAAAGAACAGUGGUUUUAAUAUUUAUUCUUAUCAUCUACAGACCCUCUGCCAAGCACAGUAGUCACGUUACCUUCUGUCUUUUUUUUUUAAGUUGAAAUAUAGUUGAUUUAUAGUGUUGUGUUUGUUUCUGCUAUACAGCAAAGUGAUUCAGUUAAAAAAAAAUAUAUAUAUAUAUGUGUAUGUCUCUGUGUGUGCGCGUGUGUAUACUUUCUAAUGUUCUUUUCCAUUAUGGUUUAUCAUAGGAUACUGAAUAUAGUUCAUAUUCAGGAUACUGUGCUAUACAGUAGGACCUCUUUGUUAAUUCAUCCUAUAUAUAAUAGUUUGCAUCUGCUAACCCCAAACUCCCAGUCUAUCCCUCUCCCACUCUUCCCCUUGGCAACCAAAGUCUGUUCUCUAUGUCUGUGAGUCUGUUCCUGUUUCACAGAUACACUCAUUUAUAUCAUAUUUUAGAUUCUAUGUAUAAGUGAUAUCAUAUGCUCAUGUUACCUUCUUAAACUCUUCAGGAUCCUGGAGAGGUAGAAGUUAACCUUUACUGCACAGAUUAGGGCCCUGAUGCUCAGAGAGGUAAGGCAGCAAAUAACCCAAGUCAUACAGCUGAUGAGUGGAAGACCCGCCUGGUUUCACCCUCUAGUCAGUGGCACCCAUUAAAAUAUAUGCUCAAAGCUACCCUUUAUCAGUAGGAGUCCAGGUUCCCUAGUUUGCUUCAGAGAAAACAGCAAACAGUGGCUUUCAUUUGUUUAUCUAUGUUAAGCUUUUGUUUAUGACUAUUUUGAAGAAUGGAUUGCACUGCUGAAACAUUUUUAAUAUCACUGGCCCACACCAUUCAAGUUCAUAUCUGCCAGUCUGAGCCCCCUUGGUAGGCUCAGGUGCAGGCUCUUUCCCAAGGCCCAGUGAAACUUCUCCAUCCUGAACCCUCCCCCAAGGACUUGUCCUCGUCCAAAUGCCAAGGGAUGAGAAAGUCUGAAAAGGACUUUCCUGUCCUCAAAACCUAGAUUAAUUUCUACUGUCUUCCCAAAAGAUUUCCACAAAUUAAAUCUAGAAAAAAAAAUAAUAAAAUUCACCACAUCCUAGGGUGUGAAUAUUACUUUUAAAAAUAGCUUUUCAAUGCCCUUGCUAAUCAAGGUGUACCCUGCUUUAAAAGGCCCUAAUGUACAAAAUUCCAGACUGAAACAGUCAUCAACUAGAGAUUAACUCUUCCUUUUGUAAAGGAAGUCUUCCCUGAUGCACUUGAAAUAGUUUCAGUUUUCCAAUUUACAUGUAGCUCUUCAGAAGUAUAUCCAGUAGUUUCUAACAUGAUUAUUUGUACAAUUUUCCCCUUUCUCAGAAAAACUCCUAGGGAAAGGGGAUUAUAGUAUUGUGUGUAUGUGCAAAAUCAUUCUGGCAAGAAGUUAGUGCCAUUCUAAUACACUGACCUCAGUUUACCCAAAAGCAGGAUUUAAAAUAGGCUUCUACAUAUUCAGGAUUUAAAACAGGCUUCUACAUCUCAUUAAUAAAACAAAAUUUUUUAAAAGAAACGACUAUACACUAAAAAAUAAAUAAAUAAAUAAAACAGCCUUCUAAACUAACUGUGCCAGGGGAAGAAUAGCUGGGCUUGCUCCAGCGAGAGACUGGAGGGCUAAGUGGCAAGAUGGCUAAGUGGCAAGAUGGAGGUGGAGCGCUUUUUUUCUGGGUGGUAGGAUGUGAACAGGGCAUUUAUAGCCAUGUUUGGAAACCAGAAAGCUUAUCAUGUUAUAUUUUAAAAGAAAAAAAAAGAAAGAAAAUAAGAAAAGGAAAGCAUCAUGUUAUAUUUUUUAAAAAACAGAAACAAGAAAAGAAAAAAGACAAACUGGACUUCAUCAAAAUUAAAAAUAUCCACUCUGUGAAAAACAGACAUGACAUGUCUCAUUCAGGACAAUGUGAGGACGAGCUAGAGUUUAGGAGAAAAUAUUUGCAAAACACACACCUAAUAAAGAAUUGUUAUCGAAAAUAUACCAAGAACUCUUAAAAUUCAACCAAAAAAAAAGCAAUUCGAUUAAAAAAUCAGCCAGACCGUAAUAGACCUCACCAAAGAAAACACGCAGAUGGCAAGUAAAUAUAUGAGAGGAAGCUCCACAUCACAUCUCAGAGAAAUGCAAAUUAAAACUGCAAUGAAAUUCCACUACACACUAUUUGAGUGGCCAAAAACUAGAACCAUGAUCACAGCAAAUGUUGGUGAGAACAUGGAGCAAAAGGAAUGCUCAGAUAUUGCUGGUGGGAAUGUAAAUUGGCACAGCUACUUUAAAAGACAGUCUGAUGGUUUUUACAAAAUGAAACACACUCUUUACAUACAAUGCGGCAAUUGCACUGUGGUAUUUACCCAAAACCUUGAAAAUUUCUGUCCACACGAAAAUGUUCACAAAUGUUCUAUAGCAACUUUAUUCAUAAUUGCCAAAUUUGGAAGCAACCAAAAUUUCUUUCAGUUGGUGAAUGGAUAAAUAAACUGGCACAUGCAUACAACAGAAUAUUAUUCAGCACUAAAAAAGAAAUGCGCUAUCAAUCUAUGAAAAGAGUGGAGGAAAUUUAAAUGCAUGUUAAUAAAUAAAAGAAGUCAACCUGAGAAGACUACAUACAGUCAGAUUCCAACUAUAUGAUAUUCGGGGAAAAGCCAAACCAUGGAUCCAGUAAUAGGCAGAACAUAGGGGAUUUUUUAAGUAACAAAAUAUUCUGUAUGUUACUAUAAUGAUGGAUACAUUUUAAUACAUUUGUCCAAACCCAUAGACUAGACACACCAAGAGUGAAUCCUCAGGUAAACUAUGGACUUUGGGUGAUAAUGAUGUGUCAAUGUAGAUUUAUCCUUAGUUUUCUGUUUUUUGUUUUUUUGGGCUUUUUUGUUUUUUGUCUUUUUAGGGCCUCACCCACAGCAUAUGGAUGUUCCCGUCGAAUCUUGGAGCGGUAGCCGCUGGCCUAUGCCACAGCCAUGCUGGAUCCAAAUGCAUCUGCAACCUAUACCACAGCUCAGGGCAACGCCUGAUCCUUAACCUACUGAGCGAGGCCAGGGAUCAAAUCUAUGUUCUCAUGGGUACUAGUCAGAUUUAUUUCCGCUGAGCCAUGACAGGAACUCCAAAGGUACCAUUCUUGUGAGUGGUAUUGAUAAUAGGAGAGGCUAUUCGUGUGGGGGCAAGGGGUAUAUGGAAAAUCUCUAUACAUCUCAGUUUUGUUUUAAACCUAAAGUUGCUCUAAAAAAUAAAGUCUUUUUUAAAAAGACAAAGGAAAUUCAUAAAAAGGUGUUCUAACUAAUCUAAAGUAGUAAUACC
rnacentral:lncRNA from 1 species